AAGUUCUGACCCGCAUUAAAGGCGUAACGACUCGGAAACUGUCUCAACGAGGGACCCGGUGAAAUCGCAAUGGCAGUGAAGAUGCUGCCGACCUACGGCAAGACGAAAAGACCCCGUGGAGCUUUACUACAACUUGGUAUUGGGUUGUGAUUUUAGCUGCCUAGCAUAGGUGGGAGGCUUUGA
rnacentral:rRNA from 1 species